GCUCUGCCUCUUUUUUUUCUCUCUCUCUCUCUCUCUCUCUCUCACUUUCUGCUUUUUACUUUCCGAGCAAACGAAUUGAAUAUAUCUCUCCAACAAGCUACUAUACGCUACACACUAAAGUCAUAGACUGUUUCAUAGUUAUCAUAGUCCAUACAUAAAUAUGUUGUUUUUCUCUGAUAGCGCCCACACACGGAAUUAUAUAAAUAAUAUAUACAUAUGUACGUAAUAAAAAUAUUGCAAGAUUUUUACAAGAUAUCCUCUA